UACGAGGAUGCGAGCGUUAUCCGGAUUUAUUGGGUUUAAAGGGUGCGUAGGCGGCUUUUUAAGUCAGCGGUGAAAUUUUGCAGCUUAACUGUAACAGUGCCGUUGAUACUGGGGAGCUAGGAUUUGGUUGCUGUGGGUGGAAUGUGUGGUGUAGCGGUGAAAUGCUUAGAGAUCACACAGAAUAUCGAUUGCGAAGGCAGCUCACAAAGUCAAGAUUGACGCUGAGGCACGAAAGUGUGGGGAUCAAACAGGAUUA
rnacentral:rRNA from 1 species